ensembl:lncRNA
AAAGAUGAGCUGAGGUUAGUCGAAGUAUUCAGAGAGGCGUCUGAGGCAGUGGUCAGGGAGGGUGAUGCAGGUAGGACCCCAAGCCGUGGCGGCAACAUGGAGCCAGAGUGUGUGUGGGGACAGACUCCGUGCCGGCUGUGACUGGGCAUGUGACGUGGGGGUCCCGGCUGAGGUAGAAAGAUGGCUCUGCUGAGAUAAGCUCUUAAUUAAUGCACUGAGAGCUUACGAGUCCCACCUCUCAACAGGAAUGAUUGACGUCCAAGGAUACAUAAAUUACAGUAAUUGAGCCCUGCCUCUACCCAGACUUCCUACAGCCAACUCAUCAGAGAAGCUAGGAAAUUUCCCCAAGGAAACACACUGAGGAAGAGGAAGAGCCAAGACCCAAAAGGAUGCCUUCUGGCUACAUCACUAUCUCUUCAUACCAUGUAGAACAUGUUUCUGAGCCUUUCAUCUUGACCAUAUCCUAUCUGCUUGCUGGGUUUCUCUGGUGGCUCAGCAGUAACCAAUCCACCUGCAACACAGGAGAUACAGUUCGAUCCUUGGAAGAGGAAAUGGCAACUCACUUCCGGAUUCCUCCCUGAAAUAUCCCAUGGACAGAGGAGUCUGGCGAGCUACAGUCCAUGGGGUUGCAAAGAGUCAGACACAACCGAGCACACACACGGAUCGGCUUGCCACAGAGCAAAAUGAAAGCUACUAGCUCCACGUCUGGCAAAUUCCAGUUGUUGUUAAUGUCAGUGUUUAGGCAAGGCCUGAACACUGCCAGAAUGUGGCCGGUGUGAUCUAUAAUGUGACUCACUCUUCUCCACUCAGAAAACAGUCUGACUUGCUAAGCAUUAAAU